AGCCUUUUCAAAUUUUCCAGGAAAUUGGUGGCUUCUUCCCCUAUGUUCCUAUUGCCCUUUGGGAAAAGCUUGGUUAUAGCACUUAGGAUUUACAUUUUAAUGAUUUUUUCUGUGUCUUUCUUUUCAGCCAGGCUGUGAGUUCUCUGAGGCAGCCAACUUGAUUCAUCUUUGUAUCUUUACAGCAUGAUAGCUUAACAAAUGCCGAAUGGCUGGCUAAAGAAUCAGAAUUGAGACUUCAGCUGUUUGACUCCAGCUGCUAACCUCUAGACUGUUAAGGGUAUUUGAGCUUAUACUCUAUAAACAGAAUUCAGAAUCCUCCGGAGGCCCACCCAGCCCACUUCAUCCAGCCUCUGUGUCCUGGGAGGUCUUUACAUGUGAGAACGGUAAGGCCUAAGCCUCACAGAAGAGAAGACCAGCUGUGUAAAAAUUAACUAAUGAAGUCCAGGAUCAUAGAAAUAGAAUUGUGGUAUGUGGUUACUUCUCUUCAUGAAGAUUUACUAUCUAACCUGAACAGACAUGCUGCUGUGUGACAGGAAUUUAUUUACUGUUCAAACCUGACCUUUUCCCGUGUGGUGGGAGAUUGCAUUACACUGGGUGGCUUGGAGAUUUAUUGUCUCUGUUUGGCUGCAGUGGCAUUUCCUGACUAUUGGCUGCUGAGACCCUCCUAAACUCAAGCACAGAAAAUCCUGACCUCAAAGUCCCUCCUCCAACUGGGGGCAGAUUUCUUGAGGGCAAAGUAUUAAUAGAUUUAAAGGACAAGUUUGCAUGGAAGCAAGUGAAAGCACAGGGGACAGUGUAAUGAUAAAAACACACAGGUUGCCUUCUCACCUCCCAUGCAAACUAAGACAGAUAAGUUCAAGCAGGCUUGAGACCCCGGGAACCCUGCAGGCAGGUGGCAGAUGCAAGAUCUGAAACCACAAGGAAAUGAAAUAGGACUCCUCUCUCCCUCGCCCCCUCCUUAAUUGUCUCUCUACUCCAUAUCUAGGUCACAGCAUCAGUUUUCCAAACCAGAGAAGAGUCUCAAAGUGUCUUCUGCAAAUGGCACCAAUCUCAGGUGUUACUCAUGCCUUUCUGAGAAAAUGUCUUGAAUAUUUCAUCAAAUGUGAGGGGAAAAAUCCAUAAAUAUGUAACUUCGACCCAUGUGAUGACAAGCCUUUGGCUAGUGCUGUUGCCAGCCAUGCUUUGCAGUCACUGACACAAACAGCGGGGGACGCAACUGAGGCAGGACCAAGCCCUCCAUUUUGCCAUCUGCUUGUUCUGAAUUUCUGAACUGGGCCAAGUCGAUGCUGUUUUUCACGAAAAUCUCUCCAUGGGUGGAAUACAAUGCAGCCAUAAAAAAGAAUGCGUUCAUGUCCUUUGCAGGGACAUGGAUGAAGCUG
rnacentral:lncRNA from 1 species